AAAAGGAAAAACAAAUCUGAUCCAGUCCCGAGCCCCACGACCAUUCUCCUCCACUAACCACCGCCGCAGCGCACCCCGCGUCCUCCCUCGUGCCGCCCCUCGACGACUCCAACUCGCCGUCGCCGAGCUCCCGUCGCGGCUGCCCACCGCCACCCCAGCAGGCAUCGUGUAUUUCGCGCAACCAUGAGCCGCCACAGGAAGCAGUCUCCAACCUCCGAUGCCGUCGCGGCUCAUCUUCUGCCAUGGCCAGACGCCUCUCCGCCGUCGAGCGCCGCUCCCCUCGACCCAGAGGAUUUCGGCCGUGUAGGGGGCGUGUUGCAUCCGCUGCUCGUCACCGGCAGGUACGGUCUUCGCCCUCCGUCAAUCUCUCCCCCUUGUCGUUUUCCGUCGUAGGGGAUGCUCGGGGGUUGUUGAUGCUUGUCGGCGGGGAGGUAGUGUCUACAGCACGGUGACUAGUAGUUCCCAGUAGGUUGCCAUGAUUUUUGUGUACAGUUUUGUCUCGGUGAUUUUUCCUCCGGUUGUUUGUAGCUUAGAUCUCGUCUCAGACAGGCGCAUCUUCAUCACGUAGGUACAGGGGAGGAUCCAGUGCUGUUUUUGGUCAGUUUGAUUCGGCGAAAUAGGUUGAUUUGACGUUUUCACCCCAAACCAUAUAUGUGCAUUUUUCGAUCCCACUUUGAUUUGUUUGAUAAAUUGGUAGAUGCGGUAUAUCCACAUUGUCGAUUUCGGGUCAUUGGCAUUUUUUCUGCAUAAUUGCCAUCGAGGCGCAUCCAGUUGGCAUGCGUAUAUGAAUGAGUUGCACCAAAAUAAGAUGCAGUUUGGCGUACCCGUUUGUCCCUGUGAGUAUGUGCAACUUAUAUAUUUUUUUCAGUUGGCAUGUGUUGUUCUAUGAGUUGCACGAAAAUAAUAUGUAGUUGGCGCACCUCUUUUUCCCCCUUUUGUCCCUGUGAGUAUGUACAACUUAUAGUUUUUUUUCAGUUGGCAUGUGUAGUUCUAUGAGUUGCACGAAAAUAAUAUGUAGUUGGCACACCUCUUUUUCCCCCUUUUGUCCCUGUGAGUAUGUGCAACUUAUAGGUUUUUUUCAGUUGGCAUGUGUAGUUCUAUGAUUUGCACAAAAAUAAUAUGUAGUUGGCGCACCUCUUUUUCCCACUUCUGUCCCUGUGAGUAUGUGCAACUUAUAUGUUUUUUCAGUUGGCAUGUCUAGUUCUAUGAGUUGGACGAAAAUAAUAUGUAGUUGGCACACCUCUUUUUCUCCCUUUUGUCCCUGUGAGUAUGUGCAACUAUAGGCUUAUUUCAGUUUUGCCAAAUUAAAGGACUGAUAUGUGCAACUAGUUGUUUGACUAUGUACGCACAUUUUUUGCGACAGUGGUUGAUCCACUUUUGGAUGCGGUUUUUAUCCACUUUGUUGAUUCUGGUGUUUUUGUCCUUUUUUCUGCUUUAAUCACGAUUUGAGUUGUAUUCAGUUGGCAUGUGUAUAUGUGUGAGUUGCACCAAAACAAUAUGCAGUUGGCUCAUUUUGAUUUUUUGUCUUUUUUUUGCCUUUGUGAGUGUGUGCAACUACAUGCUCUUUAGUGUGCAAUUGAAAGAAAUGAUAUGUGCAACCAGAAUGUUUUGGCUCUUUGUGCAUAACCUGUUUUUGCAGUGAAAAUGGAUGCAGAAGGAGAAACCGGUAGAAGCAAAAGGAGGGGUAAUUGGUGAUGUUAUUGUUUUUAGGAAGACUUUUUUGAGGAAGCAUGUUUUGUGCUAUGCACCUGUGCUCAUUUUUUUUAGUAAUUGGUUCUAUUGUUUUUUGUCACAUGGAGGGGAAUGUCGUGCAGCCUAAUCGGCGGAAACGGAAAAGGGCUGCGCAGCGGAUCUCUCGCAGUUCCGGCGGUGGGGAUGAGGUUGAUGAAGCUGAGGCAGAGGGUGGUGACUAGUACCGAAUUGUAAAAUGUCAAAGAUGCAAAGCGAAAGGCGCAGCAACUGAUGUAGGUGGUUCAUCCUCCACAGCAGCUGCUGAGAUCCUUUAUCUCGAUGCGCUCGAUGUUGAUGUGGGAGUAAGUGUAUGUGAUUAUCGAGCUAAUGCUUUCGAUAAGAAUCUUAUCAGGAAGAUUAUAAAGAAAGACAUGAUAUCUCCCAGUGUGUUUGGCAAGCUUCAAAUACCCCCUGUGUGGCAGGCAGUCAGGUGUCAGGUGUCUAUAGUCAUAUUUGGUCUCAUAGGAGGGGAAAUGACAUGGCAGAUCACUGCAAAUUGAACAUAAUAGGCCAGGUCUGCUGAUACUUCGAAAUGUACUUCAAAAGAUGAUGACUACAUCAAUUGUUUGGCAAUUAUAUUUGAAGGAUAUUUGUAUAGCUAUUGACCAGAACAGUUUUUGUUUUCCUCAUUUGUGUUUUUCUUA